ACAAAAUAAAAGUCAUACAAGCUUCAUAUUAGAAGCUAGGUGCCUCGAGGGCUCGAAUACAUAAGCUCGGGGAACACACGAGUCAGCGUAAACAAUAAUAUAUGAGUACAAACAUAAGAAGCAAGUUUAUGCCUUAGAGAAGUCUAGCACAAAAGAUACAUAGAAUGAACGAGGCGAGGCCUCCUUCCUGGGAGCCUCGUGAACAACUCCUGGUCAUUAGUGGCCUCCACAUAGUUGUAGGCACCAUCAAGGCAGUAGUCGUCAUCGGCGGGAUACAACAUCUCCUGGGCUCCAUCAUGUGGUCACGACAAUCGUAUCAAGGGGAAAAUGGGGAGCAAAGCAACGCUGAGUACUCAUCCAAAGUACUCGUAAGAGUGACAUUAGAACUAUGCUAAGUAUGCAAUAGUAUCAAAGGAAUGGGGUUAUAUCUCGAUUGAUUGCAACAAUGCGGGAAUAGAGAGAAGGGACUAGUCCUAUUAAAGACUAGCAUCUUGAGUGUCUUGCAACAUUAGACGAGAGUAGAACAAUAACACAUAUAGUCAUAUUAUUGUAGCAAAUUUAAUUAAGUCACGGCCAAAGAUUCUUCCUAGACUCCCUACGAGAAAGCAAUCUCGGAACCAAAAUUCUAGUAACUCAUACUUCGAGUUGUAUCAGAUCGGGAUGCAACUCCAAGUCGUCCUAUAACCAUGGAUAUGGCUAUUCAAAUAGUCAAUUUUCAUCUCUUAAAGGUUUUACCAAAUUAAGUAACAUGCUUGAUAAACUCUGACCGGACACACUUUCUUGGGUCAUGCCCGGCCUCAGAACAUCAACACGUCACAGCCCUACCUAUGCUCAAUAGAGAGGCCUUCCCGCUGAUCUAAAUCCUAAGCAUGCAUGGGUCAUGGGUCCGUCACCCUUUGCACUCCUGCAUGCUGCAAGGGUGGACGAGGUCUAUCCUGGCACCUCUAAUACAAGAACAAUGCUUACGUGGACCACUCGGGCGCGCACCGCUCCAUUGCUGAUGUCUGAAGAGCUUUGACUGUUACUACGACGUCGAGUACCCAUAACUUCUCCCAUGUGAAGGUUAGUGAGAAAAGGUCAAUGACCAACUCAGAAAAAACACACAAAUCCCAUUAGCAUUUUAAUUAACACUGUUGCGACAAUCAGCAAUCCACGAUAUGUGGUCCCGUCGCCCCGUCUUGAGGAUGUGUGGCAAGGGCCAAGAAUGCGUGGCCAUGCCUCAUCAUAUCCACGCGGGAAUCCACCUCCAACACACCUCAUCAAGUUCCCAAUAGUAAGGUAAAAUAACUGUGUGGAUGUAACAUCAGAGGGAUCCGAGGUAUCACCCUCGAUAGAUUCCUAAUGAUGUAAUCGUUAAGGUGACCACAGAGGAAUCACCCUCGAUGGUCCACACUUGUGGGGUUGUACGACAGAGUCGUUAUCGGAAGUGGUGAGGGAGGAAUCACCCUCCGUGAACCACCGCCUGUUAAAUACACUACAUAGCUAACAUCAAGAGUACGAAAAAGGUGUCACCCUCGAUACUCGAUAGUAUCUCUGCAGUGUCGUAAAACAAGGGGGUGUGAGUGGAGUGACGGGUCUUGGCUCGUCGAUCAGUAGAUCGAGUCUUUUGUGAUAAAGCGGGGGCAACUAGGACUAAGGGGCCAAUAGUGAUCAGUGCUCCACCUAUACUAAGCAUUUAAUGUACAGUAGAGUAUAACAACACUUUAUCAAAAAAAGGUAUGCAUUAGAAUAGGAGCUAUCUACAACAAUAGAAAAAUCUAAUGCAAGCAUGACGGAGAAGGAAUGGGCGAUAUAGGAAUGAUUAGGGGGGGGUUCUUGCCUUGUUGCUCGGCUGCAAAAGGCUGGUCGUCAGGAGGGUAGUCGUACUCGGCAUCAGCAUCAACAUUCGCGUCUACCAGAGAGAAGAGGGGGAAGAAACAAUCAAUACCAGCAAGCAGGUGCAUCACGAUGCAUUACAUGCCAACAUGCAAUGCUAGGCAUGAGCUAACGCAGUACUACACGUAUUGGACGGGUAGGGAAAAUAUCUAAUGAUAUUUCCCGGGUGUGUGUCUACUACCAGACAUGUGAAAUCGAUGGAAAAAAAUCCAUGUACGCUAUGCUAGGCGCAUGUGACAAAUGAAGGUUCAUCGUAUCCGGGUCCAUCUCGUUUUUAUGAUCAACUUUCAUGUACAAAAUAUUUUCAUCUCGGUUACAGAUUAUUUUAUAUUAAUGUUAAAAAUUAUUAUUAUUCUUAAAUUAAAAAUAUUUAGUUAAUUUAGAAAAGUAAUUAUGACAUCAUUAUGAUGUCAUGGCGACAUCAAUAGUCAACAGUCCCGUUGACUCAUCAACUCACUAGUGGGUCCUAUGUGUCAUUGACUGCUAAUUUAAUUUAACUUAAUUUAGUUAUAUUAAACAAAUAGGGAGGUCCCACAUGUCAUACCGUGUAAUUUAAUUAACAAAAUUAACUUAAUUAUAUUAGGUUUAAUUAACCUAAUUAAUUAGGUAUGUUAAUCAUUAGUUAUUUUAAUUUAUUAAUUACUAAUUAAUUAAACAAUUAACUAGUUAAUUAAUUAUAAUAUUAUUUAUUAUAUUUUUUAUUUUCCCUUUGUUUUCUUUGAAACGUUCACACGGUCACGUCCCACUAUCAUUGGGGCUUAAGGGGGAGGGGUUAGUGGUGUGGUUAGCCCCCACUAACCCGUAUGGCAAAGGGGCAGGCGUGGCCAAGGCAGAGGCCACCAGCGGGGUGCCCAACGGGGAGAGGGGGAGCGGUCUAGUGGGCCAGUGACCGGCGAGAUGCACAUGAGGCACAAAGGCGGCAGCUCCGGGGCAGCAUGGGGGAGCAACGGCGUGUGUGCGCGGCCAGGAGCGGCAGUAUUGGGGCAUAAGAAAUGGCUGCAGCGGCACGAGCGAGGCGUUGCGGGGUGUGGGGGCUCGCGGGAGGGGCCGGGGGGCUCGCCGUAGCGAGGCGAUGAUGCCAUGGCUGCCGGACCAAGGGGAGGAAAGCGAAGGGGGUCCUCACGUUCCGAUGGUGGGGAGUGGAAGUGACCUCGGGGGGCUAGGCGGGGGAGCCGAUGGUGGGUUGGAGGCCGGGAGAGGCGCAGACGGUGAGGAUGCGCGGCGGGGCGGCGCUGGCAACGGUCAGCGGGGGCCGACGGGGCGCCGGAGCCGCCUGGAUCCCUUCCGGGCGUGGGGAGGGAAGAGGGUGCUGUUGGUGGUGGUGGGGUGAGGGGCG
rnacentral:lncRNA from 1 species